UGGUGGAUUAGUGGCGACGGGUGAGUAACACGUGAGUAACCUGCCCUUAACUCUGGGAUAAGCCUGGGAAACUGGGUCUAAUACCGGAUAUGACUCCUCAUCGCAUGGUGGGGGGUGGAAAGCUUUUUGUGGUUUUGGAUGGACUCGCGGCCUAUCAGCUUGUUGGUGAGGUAAUGGCUCACCAAGGCGACGACGGGUAGCCGGCCUGAGAGGGUGACCGGCCACACUGGGACUGAGACACGGCCCAGACUCCUACGGGAGGCAGCAGUGGGGAAUAUUGCACAAUGGGCGCAAGCCUGAUGCAGCGACGCCGCGUGAGGGAUGACGGCCUUCGGGUUGUAAACCUCUUUCAGUAGGGAAGAAGCGAAAGUGACGGUACCUGCAGAAGAAGCGCCGGCUAACUACGUGCCAGCAGCCGCGGUAAUACGUAGGGCGCAAGCGUUAUCCGGAAUUAUUGGGCGUAAAGAGCUCGUAGGCGGUUUGUCGCGUCUGCCGUGAAAGUCCGGGGCUCAACUCCGGAUCUGCGGUGGGUACGGGCAGACUAGAGUGAUGUAGGGGAGACUGGAAUUCCUGGUGUAGCGGUGAAAUGCGCAGAUAUCAGGAGGAACACCGAUGGCGAAGGCAGGUCUCUGGGCAUUAACUGACGCUGAGGAGCGAAAGCAUGGGGAGCGAACAGGAUUAGAUACCCUGGUAGUCCAUGCCGUAAACGUUGGGCACUAGGUGUGGGGGACAUUCCACGUUUUCCGCGCCGUAGCUAACGCAUUAAGUGCCCCGCCUGGGGAGUACGGCCGCAAGGCUAAAACUCAAAGGAAUUGACGGGGCCCGCACAGCGCGAGCAUGCGAUUAAUCG
rnacentral:rRNA from 1 species